CACGUAGGGGGCGAGCGUUAUUCGGAAUUAUUGGGCGUAAAGGGCGCGUAGGCGGUUAGACAAGUCAGGGGUGAAAUCCCUCGGCUCAACCGAGGAACUGCCUUUGAAACUGUCUGGCUUGAGGCCGGGAGAGGGUGGUGGAAUUCCCAGUGUAGCGGUGAAAUGCGUAGAUAUUGGGAGGAACACCAGUGGCGAAGGCGGCCACCUGGACCGGUUCUGACGCUGAGGCGCGAAAGUGUGGGGAGCAAACAGG
rnacentral:rRNA from 1 species